GGAGAACCCAAUCGACACAGCCCAUUCUACAUAACUUUUCCACGUGGAUGCCACGCAAGCGCCAUGUCAGUGCCACACGGUCAGAAGCAUACAAAAAUCCGAAAUUCCUCAUUAUUGUAAGAUACCCAUUUUGCCCUCACUUAAUCCACGUAAACAUCCCAAAAUACCCUUGAGUCCCUAAAAAUCUUAGGGUUUUCUUUUUUGUUUGCCUCUCACCCGCCACCUUCCUCCUUCUCUGCCAUGGCAGCAAAAAAAACUCUUGGCAUUUUUCUCCAUUUAACAAUUGUUUGACCUUCAUAUCCCACAAGCAAAGAUCAUAUAUCCAUUCCAAGAAAACCUUUGUAAGGGUAAAAACAAAACAAUUCAGAGAUGGCUGACAAAGCAAUUCAAAUUUCUUUCCUCUUUUCCAUUAUAGAACAAGGCAAGCAAAAAAUGGAGUCUUCAUAAAAGACUCUCAAUGCCACAAGGAGUCUCAUUUCGAGACUCGAUAUUGCCGCUAGAUUUAGACCCGCAUCUAUUCUACAUUCGAUUCUCUCCUCUCUUGAAAACAUCCGAAGAGAGGAGAAAGGCGCUCUGUUGCAUUCUUUAGCUCGUCUUAGGAUCAAUUAACUUUUUAUUUUCCUAGCUGUGAAUGUUUGUUAUUGGCUUAAGAUUGUCUACUGAGAACACUUAAAUUAGAGGGGGAUAUAGGGAAUAUUAAUUUAGUGAGUAUAGAAAGUAACACUUUCCAGAACACUACUCUGAGCUCAAUUUUUAAGAGUCUCUUUAUUAUAUGAGUCGAUUUUUUUUUUUUUUACUUAGACGAAUAAGCAUUUGUUUUAAAAGCUAAUUUAUUCUAAAAUGUUCAAAUGAAAGCAGUUUUUCGCUCAAUUUGAAAGACGAGCAUUUGGUCACUUUAGUAGGAAA